AUUGGAUAACACAUGUUACACGUUGGAGUUAAUCACUAGACCGUGAAACCACAAAAAAUCAAGGAGUGUUUUUUUUUACAUGGAAUGGAAUAUAAGCACUAGGUUAUACAUAAUUGGAAAUUAAUAUUGGAGCAUAAUGUUCAUUUUUGCCUCUGGUUACAAUUAAUAUAAUAAUGUCACUUCUGUGGUCAGUAAGCAUAAGCGUAAGAGGGGACUGAACACCAUGUCUGGCACUCAACUUUCACUUUCUGGGAGCUGAGUAGUCAGGAGACCAACAGUGAGCAUGGCCAAUAACAUCCCCAGCAAGUAUAUAUGAUUUCAAAAUACAACAAAGGGGCUGUGUCAACUUGCUGAGACUCUAGAAGGGAACUUCCUUC
rnacentral:lncRNA from 1 species